CUGGGGUGCCUUUGGCUGAGAUGAUACCCAUUAACCUGAUCUGGUUAGUACCAGCGUAGGGAGUUACAU
rnacentral:ncRNA from 1 species